rnacentral:rRNA from 1 species
GAGUUUGAUCCUGGCUCAGGACGAACGCUGGCGGCGUGCUUAACACAUGCAAGUCGAACGGAAAGGCCCCGCUUGCGGGGUACUCGAGUGGCGAACGGGUGAGUAACACGUGGGUGAUCUACCCUGCACUUCGGGAUAAGCCUGGGAAACUGGGUCUAAUACCGGAUAGGACCCCUCUUUAGUGUGGGGGGUGGAAAGUUUUUUCGGUGUGGGAUGAGCCCGCGGCCUAUCAGCUUGUUGGUGGGGUAAUGGCCUACCAAGGUGUCGACGGGUAGCCGGCCUGAGAGGGUGGACGGCCACAUUGGGACUGAGAUACGGCCCAGACUCCUACGGGAGGCAGCAGUGGGGAAUAUUGCACAAUGGGCGGAAGCCUGAUGCAGCGACGCCGCGUGGGGGAUGACGGCCUUCGGGUUGUAAACCUCUUUCGCUAGGGACGAAGCUUUUGUGACGGUACCUAGAUAAGAAGCACCGGCUAACUACGUGCCAGCAGCCGCGGUAAUACGUAGGGUGCGAGCGUUGUCCGGAAUUACUGGGCGUAAAGAGCUCGUAGGUGGUUUGUCGCGUCGCCUGUGAAAUUCCGGGGCUUAACUUCGGGCGUGCAGGCGAUACGGGCAAUACUUGAGUGCUGUAGGGGAGACUGGAAUUCCUGGUGUAGCGGUGGAAUGCGCAGAUAUCAGGAGGAACACCGAUGGCGAAGGCAGGUCUCUGGGCAGUAACUGACGCUGAGGAGCGAAAGCAUGGGUAGCGAACAGGAUUAGAUACCCUGGUAGUCCAUGCCGUAAACGGUGGGCGCUAGGUGUAGGGGUCUUCCACGACUUCUGUGCCGUAGCUAACGCAUUAAGCGCCCCGCCUGGGGAGUACGGCCGCAAGGCUAAAACUCAAAGGAAUUGACGGGGGCCCGCACAAGCGGCGGAGCAUGUGGAUUAAUUCGAUGCAACGCGAAGAACCUUACCUGGGCUUGACAUACACCGGACCGGGCCAGAGAUGGUCUUUCCCUUGUGGCUGGUGUACAGGUGGUGCAUGGUUGUCGUCAGCUCGUGUCGUGAGAUGUUGGGUUAAGUCCCGCAACGAGCGCAACCCUUGUCUUAUGUUGCCAGCACGUAGUGGUGGGGACUCAUGAGAGACUGCCGGGGUCAACUCGGAGGAAGGUGGGGAUGACGUCAAAUCAUCAUGCCCCUUAUGUCCAGGGCUUCACACAUGCUACAAUGGUCGGUACAGCGCGUUGCGACACUGUGAGGUGGAGCUAAUCGCUGAAAGCCGGCCUCAGUUCGGAUUGGGGUCUGCAACUCGACCCCAUGAAGUCGGAGUCGCUAGUAAUCGCAGAUCAGCAACGCUGCGGUGAAUACGUUCNCCGGGCCUUGUACACACCGCCCGUC